AUUGAACGCUGGCGGCAGGCCUAACACAUGCAAGUCGAGCGGAUGAAGGGAGCUUGCUCCUGGAUUCAGCGGCGGACGGGUGAGUAAUGCCUAGGAAUCUGCCUGGUAGUGGGGGAUAACGUCCGGAAACGGGCGCUAAUACCGCAUACGUCCUGAGGGAGAAAGUGGGGGAGCUUCGGACCUCACGCUAUCAGAUGAGCCUAGGUCGGAUUAGCUAGUUGGUGGGGUAAAGGCCUACCAAGGCGACGAUCCGUAACUGGUCGGAGAGGAUGAUUGAUCGCCCUGGAACUGGGACGCGCUCCAGACUACUGCGGGAGGCAGCAGUGGGGAAUAUUGGACAAUGGGCGAAAACCUGGUCCAACCAUGCCGCGUGUGUGAAGAAGAUCUUCGGAUUGUAAAGAACUUUAAGUUGGGAGGAACGGCAGUAAGUUAAUACCUUGCUGUUUUGACGUUACCAACAGAAUAAGCACCGGCUAACUUCGUG
rnacentral:rRNA from 1 species